rnacentral:rRNA from 1 species
UACGGGGGGAGCAAGCGUUGUUCGGAUUUACUGGGCGUAAAGGGUGCGUAGGCGGCUUUUUAAGUCAGUGGUGAAAGACAACAGCUCAACUGUUGCAGUGCCAUUGAUACUGAAGAGCUUGAGUACAGAUGAGGUAGGCGGAAUUUAUGGUGUAGCGGUGAAAUGCAUAGAUACCAUAAAGAACACCUAUUGCGAAGGCAGCUUACUAAGCUGUAACUGACGCUGAGGCACGAAAGUGUGGGGAUCAAACAGG